rnacentral:rRNA from 1 species
UACGUAGGGUGCAAGCGUUGUCCGGAAUUAUUGGGCGUAAAGAGCUCGUAGGCGGUCUGUCGCGUCUGCUGUGAAAACUCGGGGCUUAACCCCGGGCCUGCAGUGGGUACGGGCAGACUAGAGUCCGGUAGGGGAGCGUGGAAUUCCUGGUGUAGCGGUGAAAUGCGCAGAUAUCAGGAGGAACACCAGCGGCGAAGGCGGCGCUCUGGGCCGGUACUGACACUGAGGAGCGAAAGCGUGGGGAGCGAACAGG